UGUUUUNUUAAUCAAGAACGAAAGUCAGAGUAUUGAAGAGGAUUAGUCACCCUCGUAACUCUCUGACCACUAAACUACUACCAACCUACAAUUUGUCAAAGUCGUCAAUGACUUGGCAAGAGACUUAACCGGGAAACCAAAGUUUAUUGGUUCCGGGGGAAGUAUGGUUGCAAAAUCGAAACUUAAAGGAAUUGACGGAAGGGCACCACCAGGAGUGGAGCCUGCGGCUUAAUUUGACUCAACACGGGAAAACUCACCCGGUCCAGACAUCUUAAGGAUUGACAGAUUGAAUAUCUUUCAUGAUUAUAUGGGCGGUGGUGCAUGGCCGUUCUUAGUUAGUGGAGUGAUCUGUCUGGUUAAUUCCGAUAACGAACGAGAUCUUCUCCAUCUAAAUAAUGAAAUUCACUUUAUGUGGAUUCAAACACUUCUUAGAGGAACUAUGCGGAAUUAAAUACCGCAGAUGAAGUGAGGCUACUAACAGGUCUGUGAUGCCCUUAGAUGUUCUGGACUGCACGCGCGCUACACUGUGUACUUCAAUAUGAGUACUCUGACCUUUGUCCGAAAUGGACUGGGCAAUCCAUGAAAAGUACAGCGCUUCAAGGGGAUCGUCUGUUGUAACUUGCAGACGUGAACCAGGAAUUCCUAGUACUUAUGAGUCAACAACUCAUAGGGAUUACGUCCCUGCCCUUUGUACACACCGCCCGUCGCUACUACUGAUUGGAUAGUUAAGCAAGAAUUGCAAAUUCCUUUGUCGGAGACUUCGGUUUCUGACUGCGGAUGAAGCGGAUCGAGCUUAAU
rnacentral:rRNA from 1 species